UAAAUGGAGAGUUUGAUCCUGGCUCAGAGCGAACGCUGGCGGCGUGCCUAACACAUGCAAGUCGCACGAGAAAGGGGUCGCAAGACCCCC
rnacentral:ncRNA from 1 species